CUUCACUUAUCUCAGAUGAUUUUAUUCAGUGUUUUCGUAAGUUGGAAAAGUUUGACUGGCACAGGAAAGCAUGUCCCAUUAAAUUAGCAAAUCUUGUAAUGGAAUUAAAGUUGUUCUGGUCAGACUCUGUGAGGCUUUCCAUAUCUGGCACUACAUAGCCUACUCAAAGCUAUUUCCCACUGUAGUCCACCUAUACCUGCUAACCAGGGUAUCUCUUCACUGUCCCACUGAGGUGACUUUCUGAUGUCACAGUCAUGUAGACUGUUUCCUCAUAAGAGUUACUCUCGGCCGGGCACGGUGGCUCACACCUGUAAUCCCAGCACUUUGGGAGGCCAAGGCAGGCGGAUCACAAGUUCAUGAGAUCGAGACCAUCUUGGCCAACAUGAUGACCGAGAAGCAAGGCUGAGAGAGGUGGAAGCACUCACCCAAAGUUACACAGCCAGGAAAAGACAGAGCCAGGCUGUACUGCAAAAUGCUGGUUUCUGCAGCAGCCUCUCUGCAACCUGAGGGCAGCAAUGCCGACAGGCAGCAAGCUGCAGGCACACUUGACAGAUGUGAAGAUCUGGGUUCUGGGGAUGCUGUUGAGCUGCUCGAUGAGCCCACUUUGGACCUGCCCUACCGCCAGACUUUUUGUGAUCCAAGUGCAAGGAAAUUACAGGGCUAUCAACUCUAUCUCUUUCCAAGACCAGAAAGUCGGCAGAUGGAGAACGGUUUCUAGAUGGGGAGGGAAUCUGCCUUUGGAACUUUUAGCGACCUGGUAUGGUUCAACAUUCCAUCACUAUGCAAAAAUAAAUAAAUAAAUUGCAGACCAACGUACAAAGG
rnacentral:lncRNA from 1 species